ACCGCUGUGGCGCUGUUGCAUUGGUUUCACAUUUUUGAAUAAUAGCCAAACCAGUGAAGCAUAAAAAAUGUUCAAGGUUGUUGCAGUACAGCAUGAAAUUCAAGACCUGAGUUUUCCAAACCUAGUAUGUGGUCUCUCUCUACAAAAACUGGAAUACCCACAAACUGGGAUAUACAGCUGGGUCCACUGGACACUCCCAGUUCCUCUGCCACCUCCUAAUCUUCAUGAGAAACCAAGGAAGGACUCUUGGGUGAAAAGGUCGCUAUCCCACAGCAUUCCUGCCUUGGCAGGGGUGCAAGGGUUGAGUUGAAACGAAGGGGCAGGGUGAGCUCCUGACGCAGUCUCCCAAGGCAGAUCUUCUCAGACAACUUUCCCAUCAUUAAAGGCCUGCCUCACUCCUUCUAGGCUGCUUUUAAAACAGAUUACAGGUGUUUGUGUCUCUCGCGUCAUUGCCUCAUCCUCUAAACCCAGCCACUUUGACAUCAAAGCAGAGGUGUGUUGUUCCCUCUCCACGCUGAGCAGAAUGUCAUGGGAGAGUGACCCUGCGAGAGGCUGGUCCAGCCCCAGGACGAUGUGGAGCCACCUGAGAGGAGCGUGUAAUCCCUUGUUAUGACCUCAAAUGGGCUGAAUGGCUGGUUGGGCACUCAAGAGACCAUUGAACCACUUGACUAAUGCACAAGUAGUUUGACUUGUUUGGGAAACAGGGAUCUGUUAUAAAUUGUUUGUGUUUGUUGCUCAUUUCUAACAAAAUUCAUUUUUUGUGAUUUUUGUUUUGGUUUUCCUCUGUCACAAAUAAACAUAGC